rnacentral:rRNA from 1 species
GACAGAGGUGCCGAGCGUUAGGCGGAAUCACUGGGCUUAAAGCGUGUGUAGGCGGAUCUGUAAGUACCAUGUGAAAUCCCACGGCUCAACCGUGGAACUGCUUGGUAUACUGCGGGUCUUGAGCCACCUAGGGGCAAGUGGAACAAACGGUGGAGCGGUGAAAUGCGUAGAUAUCGUUUGGAACGCCAAUGGUGAAAACAACUUGCUGGGGGUGUGCUGACGCUGAGACACGAAAGCCAGGGGAGCAAACGGG